rnacentral:rRNA from 1 species
UACGUAGGCAGCGAGCGUUGUUCGGAGUUACUGGGCGUAAAGGGUGCGUAGGCGGCUUUUUAAGUUUGGUGUGAAAUCUCCCGGCUCAACUGGGAGGGUGCGCCGAAUACUGAGAGGCUAGAGUGUGGGAGAGGAAAGUGGAAUUCCUGGUGUAGCGGUGAAAUGCGUAGAUAUCAGGAGGAACACCGGUGGUGUAAGCGGCUUUCUGGACCAUAACUGACGCUGAGGCACGAAAGCGUGGGUAGCAAACAGG